rnacentral:rRNA from 1 species
GGCGGCAGGCUUAAUACAUGCAAGUCGAGGGCACGGGCUAGCAAUACCUGGUGCGACCGCAACGUGCGGAACACGUACACAACUUUCCUUUAAGGUGGGGAUAGCCCAACAUAAAUUUGGAUUAAUACCCCGUAAUAUUAUGAAUGGCAUCAUUUUAUAAUUAUAGCUCCGCGCUUGAACAUGGUGUGCGGCUGAUUAGGUAGUUGGCGGGGUAACGGCCCACCAAGCCUGCGAUCAGUAACUGGUGUGAGAGCACGACCAGUCACACAGGCACUGAACACGGGCCCACUCCUACGGGAGGCAGCAGUAAGGAAUAUUGGUCAAUGGACGCAAGUCUGAACCAGCCAUGCCGCGUGAGUGAAAAGGCCUUCGGGUUGUAAAGCUCUUUUGUCAGGGAAGAAACGGACUUUUCUAAUACAGAGGUCUAAUGACGGUACCUGAAGAAUAAGCACCGGCUAACUACGUGCCAGCAGCCGCGGUAAUACUAGGGUGCAAGCGUUAAUCGGAAUUACUGGGCGUAAAGCGUGCGCAGGCGGUUUUGUAAGUCUGUUGUGAAAUCCCCGGGCUCAACCUGGGAAUGGCAAUGGAGACUGCAAGGCUAGAGUUUGGCAAGGGGGGUAGAAUUCCACGUGUAGCACUGAAAUGCGUAGAUAUGUGGAGGAACACCGAUGGCGAAGGCAGCCCCCUGGGUCAAAACUGACGCUCAUGCACGAAAGCGUGGGGAGCAAACAGGAUUAGAUACCCUGGUAGUCCACGCCCUAAACGAUGUCUACUAGUUGUCGGGUCUUAAUUGACUUGGUAACGCAGCUAACGCGUGAAGUAGACCGCCUGGGGAGUACGGUCGCAAGAUUAAAACUCAAAGGAAUUGACGGGGACCCGCACAAGCGGUGGAUGAUGUGGAUUAAUUCGAUGCAACGCGAAAAACCUUACCUACCCUUGACAUGGCUGGAAUCCUUGAGAGAUCAGGGAGUGCUCGAAAGAGAACCAGUACACAGGUGCUGCAUGGCUGUCGUCAGCUCGUGUCGUGAGAUGUUGGGUUAAGUCCCGCAACGAGCGCAACCCUUGUCAUUAGUUGCUACGAAAGGGCACUUAAUGAGACUGCCGGUGACAAACCGGAGGAAGGUGGGGAUGACGUCAAGUCCUCAUGGCCCUUAUGGGUAGGCUUCACACGUCAUACAAUGUCAUACAGAGCGCCGCCAACGAGGGGGAGUAAUGCAGAAAGUGUAUCGUAGUCGAUUGUAGUUGCAACUUGAUGCUGAAGUGGAAUCGUUAGUAAUCGCGGAUCAGCAUGCGCGGUGAAUACGUUCCCGGGUCUUGUACACAC